rnacentral:misc_RNA from 1 species
AACAUCGUCGUCGACGUCGGAAUCUGACGAGGAGGAAAGUGGUGCAGAGUAUUUCUCGAGUGUUUUAUGUGUAAAGGAAUAACCGGAGAAGUUUUUAGCUGUACAAAAGAGGGAAACAGCCGGUUUGCUGUUUGGUGGUGCGCCGUUGCUGAAGCAGGCGAUCGGGGAAUUCUUUCAGAGAGGACGCGUUUUACGGUGCGUCUGCUGCUCUUCGUCGUCGUCGCUGCCGCUGCUGCCCCUGGUUUGUUGCGGCUGCUGCACGAGCUCCGGUAGUUCUGAUAUCAUCAACCGGUUUUUAAGUCCUCCGCAAUGCCACAAGUUUACAGAGAGAAACCGGCGCGUUGUCGGUAUCGCCCGAGGGCACCACGGGAUGCCCGUGGUGGGUAGAAACAACGGAAAAACAACGAGGGACCGGGAAACACUAGACUUUUCCCGGCGCGUCAUACCCGAGGAUGGAAAAAGGGACAGCGGGGAACGCGAAGAGUUUUCAAGUCGUUUGAUAUCGGGAAGAAUCACAACGAUUUCAACAGCAGAGAUUCAUUCGAAGAAAGUUUUUUAAUCGACACCCUGAAAAUAUCGGCAACAUCGCG